CCCUUAGAUGUUCUGGGCUGCACGCGCGCUACACUGAUGCACUCAACGAGUUUACGACCUUGCCCGAUAGGGUUGGGUAAUCUUUUUAAAAUGCAUCGUGAUGGGGAUAGAUUAUUGCAAUUAUUAAUCUUCAACGAGGAAUUCCUAGUAAGCGCGAGUCAUCAGCUCGUGCUGAUUACGUCCCUGCCCUUUGUACACACCGCCCGUCGCUCCUACCGAUUGAGUGCUCAGGUGAAUAAUUCGGACUGCAGCAAUGUUUGGAUCCCGAACGUUGCAGCGGAAAGUUUAGUGAACCUUAUCACUUAGAUGAAGGAGAAGUCGUAACA
rnacentral:rRNA from 1 species